UGAUAUUGACACAUAAAUUAUAUGAUUUUAGUCUUUGAAAAAAAUUCCCAUGUUUUCAAAAUGGUCGACCUGGAGAAAAAGUUGGCGUACUGUCAACUUAUUAGAAAACUCUGACUGAGAUGCUGAAAUUCGUUCGUCACAGAAAUUGGUCGUCCGGAAAUGGUCCUCGUUCGAUACCAUUCGCAUCCGGGUUCCAGCUAUUGACUUGCCUCUGGGCACCGGUUAUACUCAGUGCAGGGUGGUUGGCCCUUCAUUGAUCUUGGAGACCUAGACCGGCAAACGUUUACACAUCAAAUUCAGAAGAAAAAUCCCGAAAAAAAAAAACUACUAGAGAUUGAUGCGGAUCCGACUUCUAGUUUCCGUUCAAGUGAAAUAAGAACGCGAGACAAAUGUACGGACCAGGAAUAACGAAAUUCAUUGUUAUA